AUCCAAGAUUUAGUUGAAUUUUUAUUUGAAAUCUGACUUCCCAAGUCAGUCUAAAUUUAGCUAUAUCUCGUGGGGAGUGAUGGAGUUGUUGCUGUUCAUUGAAAGGGCAUAUGAUUAAAAACUUAAAAGACCCAUUCCUUUUAAGUAGGUCUGUUUAAAUAUUUUUGAAAACACUCCUUUUAUUAACUUUUUUCUUGGUUUUAGGAAAGAUAUGUGGCAAGCCUGAUGCCUUUGCAGAAAAGUAUUUCCCCAUGGAAGAGUCCACCUCAAUUAAGACAGUUUCUUCCAGAAGAAUUUAUGAAAACACUUGAGAAAACAGGACCUCAGCUAACCUCUAGAAUAAA
rnacentral:sRNA from 1 species